rnacentral:sRNA from 1 species
UGAAGGGUCUUGUAAAUUUGAUCUGGGUC